rnacentral:lncRNA from 1 species
ACUCAAUGGGUUUAGCCCACUGGACCUAAGAAUUCCCAAAUUCAAGAUGUCAGCCUCCCCAAUGGCUGAGAUUAGAGGUCUGUGCCACCACCCCUAGCUCAACCCUUUCAUUUCAAGAUGAGGAAACAGAGACCCUUAGACUCUAAGGCUUAGAGCUUAAGCGACUUUCCCGAGAUCACACUGAUAGCAUUGUGUGUCAGAGGUGUAAUUCUUGAUCCUAAACCUAUAAACUCUGGUUUUACAUAGACAAGGUUCAAUCUGUGGCAUUAUCCUCAAAAAAUCAAAAUCUUUUUAGUACAUUAUACCACUUUGAAGAUUCUGCAGAUGGAUGUAACAAGCCUACCACUCCCAAGAUUCCUCCCAGAAACCUAAAGCAUUCCAAACUCUAAAGGCUACCCUUAGAUUGAAUCCCUUUAGAAGUAAGU